AUUGCCUUCAACUAUGAAUUGAG
rnacentral:piRNA from 1 species